rnacentral:ncRNA from 2 species
CUGGAAAAUGAUGAUAGGAGUGAGGAAGAAAAAUACACAGCAGUUCAGAGAAAUUCCAGUGAACGUGAGGGGCACAGCAUAAACACUAGGUAUUUAAAGGAAAUCAUGAUGCAGUAUUUUGGAUACACAACUCAAGGGAAAAUAAAUAUAUUCCUCCUGGACAAAGAAAUAGAGAAGUCAUAUCCUGGGGAAGUGGGAGACAGAAUUCACCGCGUAUGGGCCAGCCUGGAUCGGGCUCCAUGCCAUCAAGAUCCACUUCUCACACUUCAGAUUUCAACCCGAAUUCUGGUUCAGACCAAAGAGUAGUUAAUGGAGGGCCUCCAAGGAUGUCCCCAAAGGCCCAGCGACAUCCUCGAAAUCACAGAGUUUCUGCUGGGAGGG